rnacentral:misc_RNA from 1 species
CGAUCGCUCUUCUCGAAACGUGAGCGCUCCGUUUCCGCGACAAACUGUCCGGUCCACCUUAGUAGGCUUGCAGGCGUUGCACUGGUUCCUGCACGAUGACAUGAUCCGGCAAAAUCAAAAACGCGUUUCGCACAGCGAAAGCAAUUGGGGAGGGUUUUUCAUGACGCGGCAUAUCAAUGCGGUUGCGGCAAUCGUUCUUGCAGGCACGACGAUUUCGCCCGUG